GGGCGAUUGGCGCAGUGGUAGCGCGCUUCCUUGACACGGAAGAGGUCGCUGGUUCGAACCCAGUAUCGCCCACCA
rnacentral:tRNA from 1 species